GUCCGAGCAAACGGCGAUGAAUGGCACCCACGGAUCCCACCCGCUGGCAUUCAUAAGUGCAUCAAGUGCGCUUGUAAGGAUGGCUUACUGUCGUGCCACCGCCUGCCGUGUCCAGAAUUAUCGUGUCCGCGUACAGUUCAUCCCCAGGGCUCGUGCUGCCCCGUCUGUGCAAGUCAAAAUAAUGUUAUUCCUCGCACCAACCUCAGUCACUCGCAGCCCGUAGUCCAGCGACGGCCAAAAGGCGGAUCCAGCAAAGGACAACCGAAAAAAGGAGGGAAGCGCUUGAGGAAAAGAAAAAAUCGGACAAAUGAUCGAGGACGCAGAGGCUGAGCUGGAAAAAUUCGCAUUUGUUCCGCGUGUACGGGUUUUGUGGUAAAAUUCUCCUAAAUCUCUACGUUUUUCUUAAGUUUAAUUGAUGUAUGGUUAAGAAAACGAUAAGGUAUGGUGACUGCCCGGCUGUGACAGAGGCUAAGAGCAUCAUUCGAGGUACGGAAAAAUAUGGUGCUGACUAGAACUGACUUUGCUUGGUUCAUCCGAAGAUCUUUUGCUCUACCUGGAUUUCCAGACCACAAAUAACAUAGAACUAGAAUUGUAUGAACUGGAUAUGAAAUGAGUUCUCCAGUACACGAUUCGAAAGUUUUGGCCUGCUUUGGAUAUCUUGGUUCGUGACUCAAGAUCUUUGGUUCAUCUUAAUUUAAUCGUAUUGACUGAUCGUAAACUGUUCCUAAUUUUGCUUAGUGUCUCGUAGGAUAAUCGUUCUAAUUGUAAAUAUUAUUGAAAAGCUACUUUAAGCGUGCGAAUGCCGUAAAGAGACCGCUAUUUUUUGUUUUGUGUAUUGCUUAUCGUGAAAAUCAUUCUGUACAGCGUAGUUAUUGAAUUGUUAACUGAUUGUUAACUGCUCGGUAGCUCAUAGACAAUUCAUCCCCUUACGAAAGCGUGGAAAUAAAUUGGCGUUGUAAAGAGAUUUCCAGCUGUUUUUUGAGACAAGGCGCAAGGCACGUUUUUGACGAAUAUGUUGAACCAUAAAUUUAAGAGCGUCACCGUUCGCUGCAUUGCGAGCUUCGGAAACAAUGAUCAUUUGUCACAUCGAAUUCCAGUUGAUCUCCUCACUCACCUAUAUCAAAUUCUUCCUUGUUUAUUGUAAAGCUCAUUAUAUUUUCUCGUGAAUAUCUGUAUUUGAGUGCCAAGAAACUGAAGCCUUGCGUACGCAGUGGAAACAUGAUUUUAAUUCCGACAAUUUGCCUAGUCUUGUCGCUAGUCUUAGACUCUGGGACUAGCAUUACAACGAAUCUAAAGUGGCUGGUCAGUGGAGAUCUGAGCCUUUAAUCUAAUUGGUGACUACAAUCAUGAAACAUGUUUUCGGAAAUUAACAUUUCUCUUUAUGUUUGUAUUUAUCAUGAAGUUUUGAACCGACCGAGCGGCAUCUACCUAAAACAAUUUCGUCUGCUUGAUAACGGGGAAAAACUUGGAAAGCCUGAAAGAAUGAAAACUUGAGUUAGAAUAGAAUUUAGAAGUGUCGGCACUGAAGAAAUAGGUCCAUGGCCUGUUGCCGAUUCUUGUACUUUUCGUGACUUGAUUCACAAGGGAGUUAACUGAUUUACCUUCUCAAAUUUUUAUGUCCUCAACGUUUGUUGUUCUUUUAUGUAGACUGGUUAAUGUUUUAGAUAUUUUGACUAUGAAAUAUAACUAAAUGUUUAUUUUAUUCCAAAUUCGACUAUGAAUGCAAAUUGUCUCCUCUCAGCGUUAAUCAAUUUAGCGCUCAUGAGUGCUGACUAAGUUCGGUUUUGUUGCUUAGGCGCCACCUUUACAAUUCUUUUGUGGCACAUAAUGCAUUUGAUUUCAACUAAGGACGGUGAUAGAAGUUCUACAAAAUUGUGAUAUUUUUAUUUAUUUUUUAUCUGAAGUGAAAGAUAUCAUUUUCUUAUCACUUGCACUCUUUCGGGUUCUUCUUUAAAAAUAGCUGAAGCGCUAGCAAACCAUUAUAUUAGUACUACUCUUCUUUAAAAUUUCAAUUAAUGCAUUGGGCAAUACAAGCAACUCAUUACGAUUUUGUAUGGAUUAUUUAAUGUCAAUGCAAGUGAAAAAUCGUAGAAAAUAUAGGAUGUUUUUGUAGAACUUACCCAGUUCUUAAGAGAAACUUCAACAUAAAUGAUAGGAAUUAAAAAAAUAAUUUUACAGUCGAUAAUAGAAAAAAACUCCAACACGGUUCUCUUGAUAAUUAAGAUAAUCACGACUGGUUGAGUCGAUCCUAUCCAUCAGUAAAAUUGCUUUCAUGCAACGUCAUCCUUAAUUCUUCAUGCGAAGAAUAAUCCGAUGGGACUUGCUUGAAUAGGCCUUCUGUAGCUCACCGGUUGAUAAUUCAAGACAACAUUUUCGAAAAAAAUUCGAAAACUGUCUGAACAAUUAAAAAUGAAGAGUUAAAUGAAACGUUCAAAAAUUGACAGUAGUUUAAAUUUUAUGAACGACUGAAGGGUUUUUACAUUCAUUACUAUAUUUUUUAUUUAGAAAGAAAAUGUAGAUGACUUGCGAAUUUCCACUCUCUGAAAAAAAGUUUGAAAGGAAACUUACUUAUUAUUAACAAGUUCUCUCACUCUUAUUGAAGCUUGGGAAUUGCUGCCAAAGACGACUUUUGGAGUAUUGGAGUAGGGUUUAUUUUAUUGCAUUUCAUGCCAUGGCCGAUUAUCGUUCUUAAGUUUAUUGUUGUCGUGUGAAUUAUUACAUAGCUAAAGCCUGACUCUAGUGACAGAAUAUAUGUAAGGAAGAUAGCGCUCGACUUUUUGACCAUUACCGUGUAAAUAGUUGUACAUUUGAACUUUAGUUGUUAAAUUACGCUGUAAGAAGCAAAUUUGUCUAAAGUGUAAAUUGAUUGGUAUUUUAUAUUUAUCUUAAUUUUGAGAGCCAAAACUCAGCUCUCUUUAUAAUCCUCAUUCUAAUAAUAUUAUCGCUUAGUGUUUGAAAACUAUCGCUUGUUCAUGAGACGACCUGCAUUUGGAGUUAAUAUUCUUCACUGAUGUUAUUGGAUACCCUAACUACCCCUUCGUGGGUGAUUUUUACCACGUGUUUCUUUAAUUCUUGUCUCGUAUCAACGAUUUAGGCAAUCAGGGUCUCAGUAAAAAUGUAUGAUCGACUCAGCCGUGCGUCGAUAUCAGGGGUAGCCUCUCGCCGUUUUAGUAAAUUAUUUUCUACAAAAAAUUACUUGUUGCGGGAUCAUGAGGCUGGUGUAACGGUCGAACUGAGGACUCUACACGGUGAAACUUGACCAAAAUAUUAUGUAUAGCUGUGACGAUUAUGUGUUAAGAGUCGCCAUUAAUUGUUCUUCUGAAGGUUCCGAAACUAAGAAUGAUUUUUAUGAAAGUAACCCAGCAAAAAUAAUUAACAAAUGAAUGCAUAUUGUAACGCGGCAAGAAGCCCGAUUGCAAUAGAUCUUUCUCAGUAAAUUAGUCAAGACUUUCUUCAUGAAAGAAUUCAGUUUCGUCAUAAGAUUGGCUUACGUUUACUCAACAGCUUUUAUUGAUUCUCCCUCAGCACUGCGUCUUAUUACGUAAGAAAAAAUGUAAAUCAGAAAAAUAUAAUUUCACCAAGUACCUAUCAAUAACCACCCUACGAACGAGCUUUGGAAUAAUUAUUCCUGAUGCAUUUAAUGUAGUUUAAGAUCUCACGGUUAGAAAUUGGUGCAACUUGAAUAGUUUCAUUAAACGCAUAUGCAUGCUAAACCUUUUGUUGAUCUUCCUGUUUAGAAUGAAUAGAGAAUUUUAUUUUGGAAUGUUUUUUUUCGUUCUUAGCCUUCUAGCUAAACGAUUUGGUGUGAGAACGUUUAAUUUUCUAUGAAGCGUUUUAAAAUUAGAAACUGUGCCAUAAUAAUUUUUCCGUAUCGUUUGUAGCGUCGUCUUGGGUUCUUUCGUUAAUCUGGUCAGGUAGUUUAUUAGUUAUGAAAUGUUACUUUACGUCUGAAAAAUCGUUAUUGGAUCUUUUUAAGAAGUUUUAAUUAACUUGCAGUCUCUGAUAAUCACUAUUUGGCAUUAGGAAGUGUCAAAUAAUUAGUAAAUUAGUAGCUAAGUGAUAUUUCAAUUGUGGUCAUAGCAAAAGAUAUCAGAUAUGAUUAAAUUCUUGUAAUGAGUUUGGUACGAAUAAAUAACAAAAUCCUUCAAGCGUCUAAUAAGUUACGAGUCUUUCCCAAACUUGGGAGACUCUAGCAAACUCUUCACUCGAACGGGUGAGCCUUCCAGUAGUAAUGAACUUGUUUAUUUCGAAUUGUGAGAGUAUUCAUACUGUAAAUUUCAAUAAUAGAUGUUUUCUCAUUCACUGAUGUUUUAAAUGCACGACUUAUGCGCUUGUGUUCAACAAGUCUUUAACCAUACGCAGUGUUGAUCGUUUGAUCAGGUCAUAUUUUAUUCUUCCAUAAUAGCGUUAAAGGUGGCAUGAGAAACUAAGGAGGCUAUAUUAUAGAUUUUAGAUUGUUACAUGGAUUCGUGUCUGUGCCGACGCCCAUUGUUUUAUACCAUUUGACACCUGUAACUUAUUUUUGUUAGUUGUUACAUGAAACAAAAAUGUGCUCUGUAGUAUUUCUCGACGGAAUAUAUGUCUUAGGUAAAUUUGCAUGAAAUUUCCUUGUGAAAUUGACUUCAACAAUAUUUUAACAUAGAAGAGAUUUGAGAUCGUUUGAAAAUGACGGUUUCUUAAGCCUAAUUUUAGCAUUUAUGAUAUUAAGGCUUUUCGGACUUGACGUUAUUGAUGAUCGUUUCAACAACGAUUGGACGAUUUGAUGUCAUGGAAUGAUUUUGAAUGUUUUCUGUAUGAUGGUAAAUAUAAGCAUUUACUGUAACAAGAUAUAAAGAUAAAAAUUGAUUUAAUAAAUAGCUUUCUAGGACCAUUUUUAACUAACAUUACAAAGAUUACAUUUUUCAAAUAGCUCGUGCUCGUGAUGUAAAAUCACGAAUUCAGAGGUGAAUUACUUUAGGACUAUUAACGAUUAUUAAAAUUAUACGAUUAAGAGAAAUCGCUUUCGUUACUGAUCGCUUAAACUGAAGUCGAAAUUUUUAGAAGUACAUAGUGAAGUUGCCUUAAAUUUUUCGUUAUGAGCAACACGCUCCUGAUUCUAGUCAUAAAUUGAUUUUGGAUGCUUCCAUUUUCUCUUUGCUUGCUUCUUCGAGGUAGUGUAAAUCAUGUUUAACUUUAAAUUAAGUUUUAUAUGUAUUCUCUUGUUUCCCCGGAAAAUGUUUCAAACUUGAAGGCAUGGAUUAUUUCGUUUAAACAUUUUGUAAUGUG